rnacentral:tRNA from 1 species
GAUUUGCAUUCAAAAAGUAUUGAAUUUUCAAUCUACCUUA